rnacentral:misc_RNA from 1 species
CAGCAGCAGUUUGCGGGCGCGAAAUCUGCGGCCAUCGCGCGUGCGCACCGAAAAGCCGGUGUCGGUGUGCGCAGCGUCAACGACACGCGCUUCGUCGACAACGACCGAUGCGUACGCCGCGAGNNNNNNNNNNNGCAAUUGCGCCGGCGCGACGCCGUCGCGGCUGAGGAAUCCGUGUAAGGCAUGCGAUACGGCGUUACGCGGCCUGCCGUCGUCGAAGAGCAGAACCUUCCGGCGGCAGCGCCCGAGUACCAAGGCGGCGUUCAGCCCCGCCGGGCCUCCGCCCACUAUGAUCGCGUCCCAGAGGUCGGUCUGCUUCGGCGAUCCGCUCAUCGGGUGGUUCUCCUUCGCAUCGACGACGACGCUUCGCUCACUGGGCGAAACUCAUGCCUACCACGCGCGACAGCAUCCGCCGGCUCGCAAG